UGCCAGACUCCUACGGGAGGCAGCAGUGGGGAAUAUUGCACAAUGGGGGAAACCCUGAUGCAGCAACGCCGCGUGAGUGAAGAAGUCAUUCGUGAUGUAAAGCUCUAUCAGCAGGGAAGAAAAUGACGGUACCUGACUAAGAAGCCCCGGCUAACUACGUGCCAGCAGCCGCGGUAAUACGUAGGGGGCAAGCGUUAUCCGGAUUUACUGGGUGUAAAGGGAGCGCAGGCGGCGCGGUAAGUCUGAUGUGAAAGCCCGGGGCUCAACCCCGGGACUGCAUUGGAAACUGUCGUGCUGGAGUGUCGGAGGGGCAAGUGGAAUUCCUAGUGUAGCGGUGAAAUGCGUAGAUAUUAGGAGGAACACCAGUGGCGAAGGCGGCUUGCUGGACGACAACUGACGCUGAGGCUCGAAAGCGUGGGGAGCAAACAGGAUUAGAUACCCUCGUAA
rnacentral:rRNA from 1 species